rnacentral:rRNA from 1 species
UACGGGAGGCAGCAGUGAGGAAUAUUGGACAAUGGAGGAAACUCUGAUCCAGCCAUGCCGCGUGCAGGAAGACGGCCCUAUGGGUUGUAAACUGCUUUUAUACAGGAAGAAACGUUAGUACGUGUACUAACCUGACGGUACUGUAAGAAUAAGGAUC